GACGAACGCUGGCGGCGUGCUUAACACAUGCAAGUCGAACGGAAAGGCCCUGCUUUUGUGGGGUGCUCGAGUGGCGAACGGGUGAGUAACACGUGAGUAACCUGCCCUUGACUUUGGGAUAACUUCAGGAAACUGGGGCUAAUACCGGAUAGGAGCUCCUGCUGCAUGGUGGGGGUUGGAAAGUUUCGGCGGUUGGGGAUGGACUCGCGGCUUAUCAGCUUGUUGGUGGGGUAGUGGCUUACCAAGGCUUUGACGGGUAGCCGGCCUGAGAGGGUGACCGGGCACAUUGGGACUGAGAUACGGACCAGACGCCUACGGGAGGCAGCAGUGGGGAAUAUGGCACAAUGGGCGGAAGCCUGAGGCAGCAACGCUGCGUGCGGGAUGACGGGUUUCGGGUUGUAAACCGCUUUCGCCUGUGACGAAGCGUGAGUGACGGUAAUGGGUAAAGAAGCACCGGCUAACUACGUG
rnacentral:rRNA from 1 species